rnacentral:rRNA from 1 species
GACGAACGCUGGCGGCGUGCUUAACACAUAGCAAGUCGAGCGGUAAGGCCCUUUCGGGGGUACACGAGCGGCGAACGGGUGAGUAACACGUGGGUGACCUGCCCUCAGCUCUGGGAUAAGCCUGGGAAACUGGGUCUAAUACUGGAUAUGACUCCACGGUGCAUGUCGUGGGGUGAAAGCCUUGUGCGGCUGAGGAUGGGCCC